AAGGAGACAGCGUGAAGGUGCUCUGUGUGAAUCAUAGCAACAAAUAAGCCUCUGAAUCGUAAUCGUAUCGAAUCGUGAGGUGGCCAGAGAUUCCCUCCCUGCUGUCAAUGUCAACGCUGUCAAUUUGGAUUUGCACGUAAGUAUCCUUAUAGCACUCUGUUUUUGGGGGUGCUGUUCAGUGAUUGCUAAAUCGUAAAUGUGCAAUAAUCCACUGUAUACCAGUAAGUGUAUUUGGGAUGUACAGUACCUGGUUCCGGGAGAUAGUGCUGUCAACUGGGUCUGUGUAUUCAAAAUUGUCUGCUUUUUCCACUUGGUAAAUUUUGUCUUCCACUGCAAAUCGCUGCUUCACAAAGGACUUGUCUGCAAUCAGGAGCUCCAGAUCCUCCAUCAUUUCACAGGCUGUAUCAAUGUCUAUGUUCGCAUAGUCAUAUCUGGACAAGAAAACAUUUCAGUCACAUGGUAAAGUUGGAGCGCCGAGAUCCAAGGACCCAACUGGUGGUCCUUAAGUAUAUCCUCCACGCUUUGCCUCCUGGUGGCCAUGAUGGACAGCCAUGCCAGCACAGCCCAAAGCCCAUCCUUCUCACGAAGAUGGUCUGCACCUAACAGAGAAUACACGACUUCAUCACAGAAAUCUGACCAGAACUGGACUUAGGAGACCAA